rnacentral:tRNA from 10 species
ACACUCUUAACUUAAUAGGUAAAGUAAUAAUCUUCGAAAUUAUUAAUAUAGGUUCAAUUCCUAUAGGGUGUU